AGAAUACAACAUCCCAUGACAGGCAAAUCCGAUUCACCUGUAUGCUCUGUGAAGAUAUUAUUUAUUUUAUUUUAUGAAAAGUUAAGAACUCUUUUGCAACAAGUUGUUCUUUACCUGGAGCUGUAUGUAAGUACACUCUGAAUUCUGAAGCUUACUGUGCCAUAUCCAGGUGUGUGAUGCUGCCACAAAAUGAUAAUCUGCAUUAGUAAUGCAUAAUACGUAUUGGGGCACCUAGACCAGUGGUAGACCAUUCUUUCAUUCAUGUUUUAAUACGAUGAAGAUUGACGCUAUCUUCAUGUUAUGGGUUGUUAGCAUGUAUGCUACCAAAUUCCUUCUUGCCUCUUGGACUGUUAAGAGAAACCAUGGGCUCUUGGAUUGGAGGCCAGAUCCUGCUGCAGCAAGCAGCUCAGGUAAAAAGAGGCAUGAGUGCUUUUUCUUCGGUUCGGAACUUUAGUUUCAUGCCAUUUGAAAUGUUAGAUUUUCAUUAGAGUAUGCAGAGCCAAUCAUUUUUUUGAAGAAUUCAAAUCAGCCACUCAGAAUUUCUGCUGUAAUGGAGGAGUUUUGGCCACAACGAAAGAUUACAUGCAUGUCUAUUUCCUUGCUGUUGCUGUAUGGUCUUAUGGGGAAGUUUGACUAUUAGGCAAUAAUGGUCAACUAAUAGUACAAUAGUAUUUGGAAGAGCGACUGUACAUGAAUCGAUAGUAUGCAUCAUAGAAGAGCAACUGCAUACAUGAAUCUUAGGCUGUUACCAAGAUCGCUGAAAUUUUGUAUUUGGAAAAUUGCAGUAUUCCAAAGAAAUAUUAAUACAAUAUUUAAGUACGUGAAUUAACUA